GACGUAGGGUGCAAGCGUUAUCCGGAAUUAUUGGGCGUAAAGAGCUCGUAGGCGGUUUGUCGCGUCUGCCGUGAAAGUCCGGGGCUCAACUCCGGAUCUGCGGUGGGUACGGGCAGACUAGAGUGAUGUAGGGGAGACUGGAAUUCCUGGUGUAGCGGUGGAAUGCGCAGAUAUCAGGAGGAACACCGAUGGCGAAGGCAGAUCUCUGGGCCAUUACUGACGCUGAGGAGCGAAAGCAUGGGGAGCGAACAGG
rnacentral:rRNA from 1 species